AUGCACCCAAAGCUUCUUUGGAGAUGUGCCAUCGUUCUCCACUUCUACAAUUACUUCGUUGUCCAAAUUAUCAUUCGUAGAAAAACUAUUCUCCGUUUUCCUUUCCGAUCCAAGGGUGGUAUCGUUGAAGAAGACACAUUCUUCUUCGGCCUUCCUCUACCCUUCGUCACCCCCAAAAUCUUUUAUUCUAUUUUAUAUAUUAUUAUUGAAGUAAUUUAUAAGUAUUUUGUCAUGUUAAACAUAUAA